CAAUAGAGUUGAGUGCAAAGCCCACCCUGCCCCAAUUCUGUGCCUAUAAAGACCUCAGGCUCAGCCAGCAGAGAGGAAAAGUGGCUGGAUGUUGAGAGAGGCAGUUUGACUCCAGAGAUGGCAGCUGGAUGUCGGAAAGCAGCAACUUGACUUCACAAGAGAGAGGCAGAGGUGACUUAAUAUCAGAGGAGAGCAACCUGCCCUUCCCAUCCCCUUUCCAUCUCCCCUCUUGCUGAGAGCCGCUCUCGUCACGCAAUAAAAUUCACCACAUUCACCAUCCUUCAAUUUAUAUUUGCGACCUCAUUCCUCUUGGGCACCGGACAAGAAUUUGGGAUGCACCAAGUGUGGACACCCACAAAGGCUGUCACAGUGGCCCUUUGCCAUUGCCAGCAGAGGGCAGCUGCCCCAUGCAAUAAGCCAAAGGGCUGGCUGAGCUGAUAACACACUGCUUUCUGUGGACGGCGGCGGAGCUAAAAGAGUAUUGUAACAUGCCCUCUGGGGCCUUGGGGAACCCCACCUGGAUCCUGCCAAGAGGCCUGCAUGAAGUUUGCUCCUGCCAGCACUAAAGCAGCCAGUUUUUUCCUGCACUCACUCACCUGCACACUUCCUCCUGCGAUGGGUGGGACACAGUCAACCUGAGUGAGCAGAGUUUGCUCAUGCAGGCACCUAAAUUGCUGGCAAGUUCCUG
rnacentral:lncRNA from 1 species